AAAAAUCACAAGAUCAGAAGGCACACAAAAAUUGCCUCCCACUCUUCGAAUUCACAGUUCUCCGUUCCGUUUACGGGUCCACCCUAAUUGCUAGAAGCAAUGUUUCAAAACCGCAAGCGCACAAAUCAACCAGCCGUCAGUCAUCAGUCGCCCGCUGAGCCGAGAAAACCCUCUGGCUUGGCAGCCGAAAGCCGGCGUACGUUGCUGGUCACAACGUCAAACCCCACAUCGAACGCGACCGCCUUCCUCAUUCCCUUUUUGCCCAUAUAUUACA
rnacentral:misc_RNA from 1 species